rnacentral:lncRNA from 1 species
AAUGGAGAAUAAAUAAAUGAUCUCAGCACAAAAGUCUGGGAUCUCCAUUCUUUGUUUUAUUGAUAAGAUGAGUUAGGUCUAUUCCAUUGAACCAAUUCUCUUAAUUUGAAAGAAUUAAUUAAGGAUGCAAAUGUUAUAAAAAAUUGAUCGUUUGAUUGUAACGAAAGAAGCAAGUUUUCAAAUCGUUAAUUGUUAUUCUUGCAGGAAAUAAAGAAAUUUAAUUAUUAUGAAUAAAAAGAGAGUCCGUGCGUGGUACAUUUUGAAAAAAAAAUAUUUAUAUUUGUC